rnacentral:tRNA from 1 species
GCAUCCGUAGCUCAGUUGGUAGAGCAGCUGACUCUUAAUCAGCGGGUCCUAGGUUCGAAUCCUAGCGGAUGCACAA